rnacentral:rRNA from 1 species
ACGGGGGCCCGCACAAGCGGUGAGCAUGUGGUUUAAUUCGAAGCAACGCGAAGAACCUUACCAGGUCUUGACAUCCCGAUGCUUAUUUCUAGAGAUAGAAAGUUACUUCGGUACAUCGGUGACAGGUGGUGCAUGGUUGUCGUCAGCUCGUGUCGUGAGAUGUUGGGUUAAGUCCCGCAACGAGCGCAACCCCUAUUGUUAGUUGCCAUCAUUCAGUUGGGCACUCUAGCGAGACUGCCGGUAAUAAACCGGAGGAAGUGGGGAUGACGUCAAAUCAUCAUGCCCCUUAUGACCUGGGCUACACACGUGCUACAAUGGUUGGUACAACGAGUUGCGAGUCGGUGACGGCGAGCUAAUCUCUUAAAGCCAAUCUCAGUUCGGAUUGUAGGCUGCAACUCGCCUACAUGAAGUCGGAAUCGCUAGUAAUCGCGGAUCAGCACGCCGCGGUGAAUACGUUCCCGGGCCUU